CCUACGGGCGGCAGCAGUGGGGAAUAUUGGGCAAUGGGCGCAAGCCUGACCCAGCAAUGCCGCGUGAAGGAAGAAGGCUUUCGGGUUUUAAACUUCCUUGACUGUGGAAGAGCAGAAGACGGUACCCUGAAAACAAGCCACGGCUAACUACGUCCCAGCAGCCGCCGUCAUACGUAGGUGGCAAGCGUUGUCCGGAUGUACUGGGUGUAAAGGGCGUGUAGCCGGGAAGGCAAGUCAGUUGUGAAAUCUGGAGGCUCAACCUGCAAAUUGCAGUUGAAACUGUUUGUCUUGAGUACUGGAGAGGCAGGCGGAAUUCCUGGUGUAGCGGUGAAAUGCGUAGAUAUAAGGAAGAACACCAGUGGCGAAGGCGGUCUGCUGGACAGCAACUGACGCUGAGGCGCGAAAGCGUGGGGAGCAAACAGGAUUAGAUACCCUAGUAGUC
rnacentral:rRNA from 1 species